CGGGGCGUGGCGCAGUCUGGGAGCGCACUUGAAUGGGGUUCAAGGGGUCGGAGGUUCAAAUCCUCUCGCCCCGACCA
rnacentral:tRNA from 1 species